CCUACGGGUGGCAGCAGUAGGGAAUUUUGCGCAAUGGGCGAAAGCCUGACGCAGCAACACCGCGUGAAUGUUAAGCCCUUCGGGGUGUAAAGUUUUGUCAAUAGGGACGAAUUUUGACUGUACCUAUAAAGGAAGCACCGACUAACUCGGGGCCAGCAGCCGCGGUAAUACGGGGGGUGCCGGCGUUGUCCGGAAUCAUGGGGCGUAAAGCGUUCGUAGGCGGCAAGGUAAGUCUGUGGUUAACGCCCGGGGCCAAACUGCGGUUCGGCUUUGGAUACUAUCUGGCUAGAAUGUGGUAGAGGUAAAGGGAAUUCCUGGUGUAGCGGUGAAAGGCGUAGAUAUCAGGAGGAACAUCGGUGGCGAAAGCGCUUUACUGGACCAUUAUUGACGCUGAGGAACGAAAGCCAGGGGAGCAAAUGGGAUUAGAUACCCGUGUAUC
rnacentral:rRNA from 1 species